GCGGUACCGCGUGUGAUGACUUAAGGCGGUUUUAUUGGUGUAACCUGAACCUGUUGGUCUGCAUCAGGCAGAAACACGUGAUGGAAAAUAGGAUAAUCCAACCAAUUAGAAUCCUGCAAGAUAAAGGAAGUCUGUUAAACACGAAAGUAGAUUAAUCAUAUUGGUCGAUAUUGCAACAGCCUACGUUCACAAGAAACGAUGGAAGAACUUGGAAGGAUUCGCUCUAAAUUAGUCGACAUGUUGUUGGACCAAGAUGUCAUCAAUCUCCUGCGUUUCCUUUGGGAGAGGAAUGUGUUGAAUGAAGAGGAGAAGAAGACUGUAGAGGGGAAGAUGACCAGUAAAGACAGAGCAUGUUGUCUCAUUGAUACUGUGAUGGAGAAAGGGAAGAGAGAAAGUAGCCUGAUGGUGGAUUAUUUGACGGAGAGGCGCCCUGAACUAUGCUCAGCCCUGGGUCUGAACCCAACUUCUGCUCUGAUCAAACUUGGAAGGAUUCGCUCUAAAUUAGUCGACAAGUUUUUGAACUAUGAUGUCAUCAAUCUCCUGCGUUACCUUUGGGAGAUGAAUGUGUUGAAUGACGAGGAGAAGAAGACUGUAGAGGGGAAGACGACCAGCGAAGACAAAGCACAUUGUCUCAUUGACACAGUGAUGAAGAAAGGGGAGAGAGAAAGUAGCGUGAUGGUUGAUUAUCUGACAGAGAGGCCCCCUGCACUAUGGCCGACCCUGGGUCUGACCCCAACUUCUGCUCUGAUCAAACUUGGAAGCAUUCGCUCUAAAUUAGUCUACAUGUUGUCAGACCACGAUGUCAUCAAACUCCUGCGUUGCCUUUGGGAGAUGAAUGUGUUUAAUGACAAGCAGAAGAAGACUGUAGAGGGGAAGAUGACCCGAGAAGACAAAGCACGUUGUCUCAUUUAUACAGUGAUGGGGAAAGGGGUGACAGCAAGUAGCCUGAUGGUUGAUUAUCUGACGGAGAAACACCCUGAACUAUGCUUAACCCUGGGUCUGACCCCAACUUCUGCUCGGAUCAAACUUGAAAUUAUUCGCUCUAAAUUCGCCGACAUGUUGUCAUACAGCGAUUUCAUCAAUCUCCUGCAUUACCUUUGGGAGAAAAAUGUGUUGAAUGACGAGGAGAAGAAGACUGUAGAGGGGAAGACGACCAGAGAAGACAAAGCACGUUGUCUCAUUGAUACGGUGAUGGGAAAAGGAGCGACAGCAAGUAGGCUGACAGUUGAUUAUCUGACGAAGAGGCACCCUGAACUAUGCUCAACCCUGGAUCCGACCAGAAUUUCUGCUCAGAUCAGGUUUGGUGGGAAUCAGUCAUUCAGUAGCAGACAGGAGAGUCCUGGUCUGAUGUCCCCGUCUCUGCCCCUUGAAAUGCAUAAAGGCGACAGCGAGCUGGAACCUCUGAUGACGUCAGGCAGUAGCGGACAGGGGAGCUUGUCCAAGUCUGAGCUGUCCGGUCCUGUGGACUCUGAGUCCUCACUUCCAUUUGAAAAGCUUGGUAGCACACAGGAACUUGGAAGGAUUCGCUCUAAAUUAGUCGACAUGUUGUUGGACCAAGAUGUCAUCAAUCUCCUGCGUUACCUUAGGGAGAUGAAUGUGUUGAAUGACGAGGAGAAGGAGAUUGUAGAGGGGUGGAUGACAAGUGAAGGCAAAGCACGUUGUCUCAUUGAUACGGUGAUGAAGAAAGGGGCGAGAGAAAGUAGCGUGAUGGUUGAUUAUCUGACUGAGAGACCCCCUGAACUAUGGCCGACCCUGGGUCUGACCCCAACUUCUGCUCUGAUCAAACUUGGAAGGAUUCGCUCUAAAUUAGUCUACACGUUGUCAGACCACGAUGUUAUCAAUCUCCUGCGUUACCUUAGGGAGAUGAAUGAGUUUAAUGACGAGGAGAAGAAGACUGUAGAGGGGAAGACGACCAGAGAAGACAAAGCACGUUGUCUCAUUUAUGCAGUGCUGGGGAAAGGGGAGAGAGCAAGUAGCCUGAUGGUUGAUUAUCUGACGGCAAGGCAACCUGAACUAUGCUUAACCCUGGGUCUCACCCCGACUUCUGCUCGGAUCAAACUUGAAAGGAUUCGCUCUAAAUUAGUCGACGUGUUGUCGUACAACGAUUUCAUCUAUCUCCUGCAUAACCUUAGGAAGUUAAAUGUGUUGAAUGACGAGGAGAAGAAGACUGUAGAGGGGAAGACGACCAGAGAAGACAAAGCACGUUGUCUAAUUGAUACGGUAAAAGAGAAAGGGGGGAAAGCAAGUAGCCUGAUGGUUGAUUAUCUGACGGAGAAACACCCUGAACUAUGCUCAACCCUGGAUCCGACCAAAACUGCUCAGAUCAGGUUUGGUGGGGAUCCGUCAUUCAGUAGCAGACAGGAGAGUCCUGGUCUGAUGUCCCCGUCUCUGCCCCUCGAAAUGCAUGAAGGCGACAGCGAGCUGGGGGCAGCAGCUCAUGGAUCUGGAGCACAGGUUAACAAUAGCCAAGGAGCAGCUGGAGAAGACCACGCUGGACAAGAACCUCUGAUGACGUCAGGCAGUAGCGGACCGGGGAGGUUGUCCAGGCCUGAGCUGUCCGGCUCUGUGGACUCUGAGUCCUCACUUCCACUUGAAAAGCUUGGUAGCGCGCAGGAUAAAGUCUAUGAAACCCGCUCCCCAGGGCAGGAUCUGUCGGCUGAGCAGCUCCGGGAUGUUGCACAAACUCUGGGACGGAGGUGGGAGAAGGCGGCCCUCCACCUGGGGCUGACGAACGAAGAUCUGGACGACAUCAGGGAGGAAGAGAUGGCUGAGUUCAUGCAGAGACGGAAGAUGUUGCGACUGUGGAAGAGCCGAAGACCAGGAAAGGCCACAGCACAGGACCUCUUGAGGGGUCUGGAAGGGCUGAAGGUCCUACCGGCCAAGACUCGUCUGUUAUUGGAAGGGUUUGGUGGGAAUCCGUCAUUCAGUAGCGGACAGGAAAGCCAUCCUGGUCCGAUGUCACCGUCUAAAUCCCUCCCCAAAAUACCUUCCCACAAACCUCUGAUGACGUCAGGCAGCAGCGGACAGUGGAGCUUGUCCAAGUCUGAGCUGUCCGGCCCUGUGGACUCUGAGUCCUCACUUCCAUUUUCAAUGCCUGGUAGCACGCUGGCAGGUGAAAAAACCAAAAGGAAAAGCUGCAAUCGACCACCAGGAAAGGCCAAAGCAAAGGACCCGCUGAGAUGUGUGAAGGGCCUGGAGGACCUACCGGUCAAGACUCGUCAGUUUUUGAUAGGACUUCUAAAGAAUCAUUCUAAACCUGUUAAGAAGAAGCCGUCAUGCAGUAGCGGACAGGGUAGCCGUCCUGGUGAGCUGUCCUCGUCUCUGCCCCUCAAAACGCCUGCUAAUGACGGGAUGCUCGGGUUUGGUGGGAAUCUGUCAUUCAAUAGCGGACAGAAAGACCAUCCUGGUCCGACGUUCCCGUCUAUAUCCCUCCCCAAAAUACCUUCCCACACAGGUGAAAAAACCAAAAGGAAAAGCUGCAAUCGCUCACCAGGAAAGGCCAAAGCAAAGGACCCGCUGAGAGGUAUGAAGGGCCUGGAGGACCUACCGGUCGAGAUUCAACAGUUAUUGAAAGGACUUGUAAAGAAUCUAUCUAAACCUGUUAAGAAGAAGCCGUCAUGCAGUAAGGGACAGGGGAGCCUUCCUGGUGAGCGUUCCUCGUCUCUGCCCCUCAAAAUGCCUGCUAGUGACGGGAUGCUGGCAGGCGUAAAAACCGAAAGGAAAAGCUGCAAUCGCUCACCAGGAAAGGCCAAUGCAAAGGACCCACUGAGCAGUAUGAAGGGCAUUGAGGACAUACCGGUCGAGACUCAUCAGUUAUUGAAAGCAGGUGAAAAAACCAAAAGGAAAAGCUGCAAUCGCUCACCAGGAAAGGCCAAAGCAAAGGACCCGCUGAGAGGUAUGAAGGGCCUUGAGGACAUACCGGUCGAGACUCAACAGUUAUUGAAAGGACUUGUACAGAAUCUAUCUAAACCUGUUAAGAAGAAGCCUUCAUGCAGUAGCGGACAGGGGAGCCGUCCUGGUGAGCGUUCCUCGUCUCUGCCCCUCAAAAUGCCUGCUAGUGACGGGAUGCUGGGAAAUACAUCAGAGAAGACGGUGGUAAAGCCAAGGAAACCAAAAAGAGUGGAGCUUCGAAGGGUCCGUUGUGAAUUUGUGAAGACAGUUAAAAUCUCAGUUAUCAGAGGUCUCCUGGAUGACCUUUUGGAGCAGAAAGUGUUCAGUACUGAGGACAAAGACUCUGUCAUGGAGAACGAGAGGAGCAGAAAGGACCGAGCACGGUGUCUGAUCGAUAUGGUGAUCGGUAAAGGGGAGAAAGCAAGUCGGAUAAUGAUUGCUAGUAUGAAGAAGAAGUACUAUGACUUAUGCUCCACCCUGGGUCUUAUCUCUUCUCCUGCUGGUGUGGGACAUAUAGACGACAAGACGUUGGUAAAGCAAAGGAAACAAAACAAAGGAAAUGGUGGCCGGAAAAGAAAAGGAAGUAAAUCAGAAGAAGUGGCCCAUAAGAAACCUUGCACGGUUGAUGUGUCAGACAGCAUCACUGAAACCCACUCCACAGGACAGACUGACUGACAAGGAGCUCAUGAAUGUGGCCGAUACGCUGGGACAGGAGUGGGAGCCGGCUGCCAUCCACCUGGAGCUAACGACCAAAGAUUUGGAUGAAAUCAAGGCAGAACAUAGACCUGUGGCCAUGCAGAAGCUGAUGAUGUUGGUGCGGUGGAAGGGCCGAAGACCACCAGGAAAGGCAACAGCACAGGACCUGCUGAAUUGUCUGACUGACCUGAAGCACCUACCGGUCGAGACUCAUCAGUUAUUGACAGAAUUGAUGAAGUGCCAUAGUGAACUAGAUGGCUCCGUCCAAAGAAAACAGUGAAGAUAUGCAGAAUUACCUGAAACAGUGAAGCUGUCUGUGAAUGCAUCCUGGUCGUUGGGAUACGGCCAGAUGAUGACGACAGAAAGAUUAUUCAAAAGUGUAAGCAGCCGUAAGAGCUAGGCUCUUGUCGAGUCCAUCUUUACCGUAUAAACUGUUUAAAUGGCACAAUUGCUCAUGCAGCUUUGCUCCACCAGUGGUCAAGAUGCACAUACUCUGCCAAGGCAUUUUUGAAGCGUCAGCAUCAGUUGCGACCCUGUGCUGUGUUAAUGUAACCUGACUCGCGACCACAGAGGAAUUUCGCUCCAACUAGCUCCACUCAUCCAUCUGGGAUCGCUCCCAGAUUUGGGGACCAGAUUUAAUGGUCGAGCCAAUCAGGACUGUCGGGCGGGAUUUGUAUAUAUGUGACGUAGCGGACAAGGGACUGUUUUGAUUCAGACAACAAUGGCGGCUCGCAUCGAGGAGGCAAGCCUCAACAUUGAUGAUGCUAUUUCAUCAGUGUUGUUCAAUCUAGCGAAUAUUCUUUCUUUAAAAGAACAUCAGAGAACGCUCUGAUCAGCGUCACGGGUUGGUUUCGAUGUGAGUGGUUGAAGUAGCACGUCAAUAAAGAUGACGGACAAGUGGUUUAUCCAAUCAAGGAUUUUUGUUAUGGCCCAUCCUUCUAAAACACCGCUCCAAUGGAUUGAUCAUGCAUGGAUGAGUGGAGCUAGGUGGAAAAAAUUCAUCGGGCGAGAGUCAGGUUAGUGUUAUCGGCCACUUCCACAGAAAUUCAAAAUAUAGACCGAUUUAUUAAAUUCUGUACUUUUACAUUACAUUUAUUUAGCUGACACUUAAGUGCAAAGCAACUUACAGUAAUUGCAUUCCACAAUGGAAGAUGAAACCCAAAAAGCAGGAAUCAUGCAAGUACAUGAAAUGCAUUCAAUAAGGGAGCUUCUUUAAUUGCUAUAUUACAAAAAACAAGAGAUGAGUUUUCAGUCUGCAGUCUUUUUCCAAAAGUCUUGACCUUGUAAAGUAAUUAUUGAUAUCAUGUUUAGAAUAGAUCCUCCUUCCUCCGCUAGUACUAAGCUGUUCCCCUCAGGUACCUCCUAUAGACAGGUAUAGAGGUAUAGAUGGUUGUGAUCACUGAAACAACUUUUUUCUGAACAUUUGUGUUGACAUUGUGCCAAAGCAAGAUAAUGAUUAUUUAACAAUCCACUACGAUUGUGUCAGUUCAUUGUUUUUAUAUAUAUUAUGUUAACUUUCUGAGCCCGAGCCAGGAAGGUUCAGAUGUCUGUUUGGUGAAAAAUAAAAGUGGGAAAGGUGGGAAA